rnacentral:rRNA from 1 species
CAAUAGCGUAUAUUAAAGUUGUUGCAGUUAAAAAGCUCGUAGUUGGAUUUCUGGUGGGAGCGAUCGGUCUGGCGCUUAGCGCGAGUACUUGCAUCGUCUCCGGCCAUCCUUGGGGAGAGUCUGUCUGGCAUUAGGUUGUCGGGCAGAGGAUCCUCAUCGUUUACUGUGAAAAAAUUAGAGUGUUCAAAGCAGGCUUAUGCCGUUGAAUAUAUAGCAUGGAAUAAUAAGAUAGGACUUUGGUACUAUUUUGUUGGUUUGCGCACCAAAGUAAUGAUUAAUAGGGACAGUUGGGGGUAUUCGUAUUCCGUUGUCAGAGGUGAAAUUCUUGGAUUUACGGAAGACGAACUACUGCGAAAGCAUUUACCAAGGAUGUUUUCAUUAA